AGCUCCACCGUCUCGCCGAGUGCCAGCAAGAGUCAUGGGUACUUGUCAACUCGACUCCUCAACUGGAGAUAACUUUCUAGCACCUCACCAUGGGGAAGGAUGUAUUCAUAUGCCUUCACCAGCACAUGCAUUAAACAUGCAGAGAGUUACACAAGUUCUUACCACAUUGGGGCACCAUUCAGAUAA